GUUGUAGCGUUUUCUUUCCUUUUAUUCAUUUCAUUUAUGUUGUAACUUAAUUUCCUUGUUUUCUAAGGCUGAAUAAUAUUCCACAGUAUAUACCCACCCAUUUUGUUUGCCAUUCAUCCGUGGAUAGACACUUGGGUACCUUCUGCCUUUUGGCCAGACAUAGAAGUCCCUUCUCCUCCUUCACAUCAUUCCUAGAAUUUUUAUGCCAAACAAACAUACAAUUCACAGCUAACGGAUGUUCUCCACGGAUUUUUCUCUAAUACAUCAAAUCUCUAUUUGACUCAUUAAGAAAAGGGAAUUCGCUGUUGUUGGGAGCCCAAUGUCUGUUUCAUUUAGUGUCUGUGUCUGGGAGCAGUGGCCUCCUGAAUAUCAACUCAGAGCCAGAGCCAAGACAUUCAUUUGUGAAGCUCAAGUAUUGAUUUGGUGACACCAUUCUCUUCCCCUGAUGCUAUUCCUAUCAACCCAAAUUAUCUGUGUGAAUAUAGGAAUCAUUUUUCCACUGUACCCAGCAGCUGGUGACAAGCGGAUUGCUGAUAAGCUACGACAGAGAUGAGCAGUUGGCUGCUCCUGGGCGGGUGAGGCCUUGGCUGCCAGAGUGUUGCUGGGCAAAGGCAUCUGUAGCCCUGAAGCCCAGGGGCGGACCCCCACCUGGAUUCUGGAUUCAGAGCUUCAUCCUCAUUGCAGAGACCCACAAGAGGCCUCAGGGAAGAGAACAGUACCUGAGCUUAUGAGCGAACUAUAAUAAAGAAUUAGAUAAAGACAUUAC
rnacentral:lncRNA from 1 species